rnacentral:rRNA from 1 species
GACGAACGCUGGCGGCGUGCUUAACACAUGCAAGUCGAACGGAAAGGCCCUGCUUUUGUGGGGUGCUCGAGUGGCGAACGGGUGAGUAACACGUGAGUAACCUGCCCUUGACUUUGGGAUAACUUCAGGAAACUGGGGCUAAUACCGGAUAGGAGCUCCUGCUGCAUGGUGGGGGUUGGAAAGUUUCGGCGGUUGGGGAUGGACUCGCGGCUUAUCAGCUUGUUGGUGGGGUAGUGGCUUACCAAGGCUUUGACGGGUAGCCGGCCUGAGAGGGUGACCGACCACAUUGGGACUGAGAUACGGCCCAGACUCCUACGGGAGGCAGCAGUGGGGAAUAUUGCACAAUGGGCGGAAGCCUGAUGCAGCAACGCCGCGUGCGGGAUGACGGCCUUCGGGUUGUAAACCGCUUUCACCUGUGACGAAGCGUGAGUGACGGUAAUGGGUAAAGAAGCACCGGCUAACUACGUG